GCCAUGGCGCAAUUGGUAGCGCAACUGAUUUGUAAUCAGUGGGUUGCGGGUUCAAGUCCUGCUGGCGGC
rnacentral:tRNA from 1 species